UGGGGAAUAUUGCACAAUGGGCGCAAGCCUGAUGCAGCCAUGCCGCGUGUAUGAAGAAGGCCUUCGGGUUGUAAAGUACUUUCAGCGGGGAGGAAGGGAGUAAAGUUAAUACCUUUGCUCAUUGACGUUACCCGCAGAAGAAGCACCGGCUAACUCCGUGCCAGCAGCCGCGGUAAUACGGAGGGUGCAAGCGUUAAUCGGAAUUACUGGGCGUAAAGCGCACGCAGGCGGUUUGUUAAGUCAGAUGUGAAAUCCCCGGGCUCAACCUGGGAACUGCAUGUGAUAAUGGCAAGCUUGAGUCUCGUAGAGGGGGAUAGAAUUCCAGGUAUAGCGGUGAAAUGCGUAGAGAUCUGGGGGAAUACCAGUGGCGAAGGCGGCCCCCUGGACGAAGACUGACGCUCAGGUGCGAAAGCGUGGGGAGCAAACAGG
rnacentral:rRNA from 1 species